rnacentral:tRNA from 1 species
CAGAGUAUAGCUAAAAUAGAAUAGCAUCUCCCUUACACUGAGAAGAUGCUCGUGCAAAUCGAACUACCCUGA